CGCGGCGCAUGGCCGAGGCGGCGGCCUGUUACCGUCAGGUUCUGUCGAUGCGUCCACGCGACGCGCACGCGUUGCACCGCAUGAGCCUCGUC
rnacentral:tRNA from 1 species